UACGAAGGGGGCUAGCGUUGCUCGGAAUUACUGGGCGUAAAGCGCACGUAGGCGGUCUUUUACGUCGGUGGUGAAAUCCUGGAGCUCAACUCCAGAACUGCCUUCGAUACUGGAAGACUUGAGUCCGGGAGAGGUGAGUGGAACUGCGAGUGUAGAGGUGAAAUUCGUAGAUAUUCGCAAGAACACCAGUGGCGAAGGCGGCUCACGGGCCCGGUACUGACGCUGAGGUGCGAAAGCCAGGGGAGCGAACGGG
rnacentral:rRNA from 1 species